ensembl:lncRNA
AUUCCUUUUAAACUUUUGUUGUUUAUUAUUGUCUUUCACUUUUGUUUAUUAUCUAUUAAGCCCUUUGAAUUGAAGAGAGAGAGAGUUGAUUUUAUCACCUGCUCGCUUAAGGUAUGACACCAGUCUUUGACCGAUACCCCCUGUACAUAGCCUCGCUAGUUAUUUUAUUGUUGCUCUUUAAUUAUUUGUUAUUUUUCUAUUUUCUUAUUUUCUUAUUUUUUACUUCAGUUUAUUUUAGUAAGUAAUUUUUAUUUUUCAUGAAACUGCAUUGCUUGUUAAGGGCUUGUAAGUAAGCAUUUCACUGUAAGGUCUACUUCACCUGUUGUACUCGGUACAUGUGACAAAUACAAUUUGAUUUGAUGAUUUGAUUGAAUAUGUACAGGGUUUUACAACCUUUGUCUGGAAUAAAAGCCAGCAAAUUAAACACUAAACAACAUCCUAUGACAAAGUCCAAAGGUGCCACCUCCCACUCCUACUGCUGGGUGUAAUCAUUAGUCCAAACAGUUCCAAAAAAAACCGAGAGAUUCUAUUGGACAGAUUAAGGUAGGUCCCGCCCUGUUUCGUUCCGUUUACGAAACGUUUCGCAACAGAAUCGGGAUAAUGACUACACCCCUGUUAACGCUAAUGUUCCCCUGGCGAAUUGUUUGCGGAAGUGGAAGCUUGAACAAUAAACAGUUCAAUUAAUAAUCUCUGUUGUAAUGCGAGAUACACUCAACUUAUUCAAUUAUCUCGUUAUUUGCGUCGUUGGUUUACAAUGAAUGUGUCAAAAAAUCAGCAACACACAUUGACGAGUAUUUAGUGAUUUAUUCUGCCCUCCCAAAACAACUGGAAACGCGUCCUACUACGUCGUCGUCAGCUGAGACAGGCGACAUGGCGACUUCAGCGGGCUUCAAGGUUCUAUAUGAGCAUGAUGGAGUUUUUAUACACACCAACCCAGAAAGGAGUGAGGAGCAGGACUCUCUGACUUCAGGAUCCCUGCGUGUCCUGGACCAGGAUGGAGACAUAGUGCUGGAAUAUAAACCCAUGGAAGAUGUUGACCACUCUGCCAUGCUGUGUGCUGCCAAGGUUAGACUUUAUUUACACAUCUUUUGAUGUAAUAUUCCAUGUUUCAGGUCAUCAUAAACAAAGUGUACACAUGUGCGUAUAUUCAAAUACUAACAAGAUUACUCUUAUCAAUCUUACUGGUACAUUCAUGUAGAAAAACUGUUGUCUGGUGCUGAUAAUACAGAC